rnacentral:rRNA from 1 species
GGCUCUUCACUGUAGCAUGUGCACGUCCAUCUAUUUAUCUUCUCUUGUGCACCUUUUGUAGUCUUUUUGUUUGAACAGAGGAGCCCGCGGGCUACUCCCACCAGAUCCUCGCCUUGCUUUAUUGCAGGCGAGCGGAGGUGCGAGGAUGCUUUGCGCUUUUGUUUUUUCAAGGAGGCUAUGUUUUCAUAUACACUAUAAAGUUACAGAAUGUCUUUUAACGAUUGUGCUAGUCGCAGUCAUUAAACCUAUACAACUUUCAGCAACGGAUCUCUUGGCUCUCCCAUCGAUGAAGAACGCAGCGAAAUGCGAUAAGUAAUGUGAAUUGCAGAAUUCAGUGAAUCAUCGAAUCUUUGAACGCACCUUGCGCCCUUUGGUAUUCCGAAGGGCAUGCCUGUUUGAGUGUCAUUAAAUCAUCAACCUUCUUGCUUUGCUUGCGAAGCAUCUAGGCUUGGACGUGGGGGUUUUUGCUGGCUUCCUUUAGUGGAUGGUCUGCUCCCCUUAAAUGCAUUAGUGGGAUCUCUUGUGGACCGUCACUUGGUGUGAUAAUUAUCUAUACCACUUGGCUUUGAAGCAAAUCUUAUGAGGACCUGCUUAUAACCGUCCCUUCUGGGACAACUCUUGACAAUUUGACCUCAAAUCAGGUAGGACUACCCGCUGAACUUAAGCAUAUCAAUAAGCGGAGGAAAAGAAACUAACAAGGAUUCCCCUAGUAACUGCGAGUGAAGCGGGAAAAGCUCAAAUUUAAAAUCUGGCG